UACGUAGGGGGCGAGCGUUAUCCGGAUUCAUUGGGCGUAAAGCGCGCGCAGGCGGCCGGCGAAGCGGGACCGUCGAAGCCGGGGGCUCAACCCCCGGAAGCGGCCCGAACUCGCCGGCUCGAGUCCGGCAGGGGGAGGCGGAAUUCCCGGUGUAGCGGUGAAAUGCGCAGAUAUCGGGAGGAACACCGACGGCGAAGGCAGCCUCCUGGGCCGGCACUGACGCUGAGGCGCGAGAGCCGGGGGAGCGAAC
rnacentral:rRNA from 1 species